GGUUUUAAUGGAUAGGACCCACCUUGAAAAUUUGCUGAUGGCCCAACAAUUUUAUGCUGCUUUUCUACAACACAACCAAUCCAGGAUUAACAUUUGCACGUAGAUGUACCAUUCGACGGACCAUCCCCGGCCCCGUCCUCCUCCGCCGUCCUGUCCGGCGUCUCAGCCUCUCGCCCUUGUAGGCAGUUUGAGGAGAAAAUUAAGGAAUCAGGUGGGUGCAAGAACACCCUUUGCUGUACGUACUUGAAAGAUUCAGCCAUGACUGCCCACAUGAUAAGAGUCAGAAUUGGAGGGUGCACUGCUUACACUUCUGUGGUCAAUUUUAAACCUGGCGAUUCAGUUGAAACCUGGAAAUAUGGAAUUGAAUUGCAAUGGAUCCCCCCAAACUAAAAUAAGUUUCUGGGAUAUAUGCUGGUUCUUUUUAGUCUUUUUUUGUGGUGUGUUUUUCAUUUUACUGGUUGAUGAAAGCUUUUUUAUUACUUUUUGUUACCUGCCAUGUACUUCAUUGUUUGGUUUUCAUUCCCUAUUUUGUUUUGAUGCUCAAUGCUAAUGCAUGCUCUAUAAUUCUAUCCC